CUCCCCCGCAAGAGGCCUGCGCCCCUCAGCUGGCGGGUGGGGGGCCCGUGAGGGGUGUGGGAGAGGCUGAUAGACCUAGAAGGGCAGAAGAUGGGCAGGCCCGCCAACCCCUUCACUAGGGCAGCUGGCAUGUCUGGAACCUCCCUUUCAACCCUUGGGUGCCAGCCUCCUCCUGGGGGUGCUCAGGGGACACAGCAGAGGAGAGGACCCCAUUUAGUUUGAGGGUCUCCUUUUUGCUCCAAGGAGAGACUUUGGGUUAUUUCCUAAGGGACAAGGCCUGUUCCCAAGACAGGCUCCAAAUCCCUUUUUUUCUAAAGAUUCUCUGAAAGUGGUAGAGUUUGGGAGGGCUCAGGCAAAGACCAGGAGCCCACCAGGCAGGCCUAGAGGAAGAGGGUCUCUAGGCAGGCAGGGAGGGUGGAAGGGGGCCCUUGGGCACAGAUAGCAAUCCUGGCCAGAGCUGGUAUGGCCUGGUGUAUCCAGACCUGCUCAAGUAUGUCCACGGGCACCUGUUUUCUAGCUCUGUGCCUCAGUUUCCCUCUGGACUAGUGUGGGCCCUUUACCGUCCCCUGUGGGUGAGGGUGGGGCCUCAAGUUUAUAAACAACAGGGUGAGUUCCAGGAAGGGUCUGGUGUGCUCUGAGUUUCCACUUGCUGUAUACACUCUAACCCUGGCACCAUCAGCUUCACCCAGCUUCUGCCCCCUUGUCCCCGCCCCCAUCCCCACUCUGAUUCAUCCCCCUCCUCACACCACCCACACCCCCACACACAAGGGGUUUGUGUUUUGUCAGGAGCCUCAUGUCAACUCAGCCAUCUCCCUGGCAGCAACAGCUGCCAGCCCAAAAUACCAGAGCUGGUAUUUAUAGAGGAGAAUGCAUCGGGUCCAGGAAACAAGUGCACAGGAGAGGAGCUCUGGGGGGCGGGGGCCGGGUACCUGAGGAGGCAGGGGUGUCAGAUGGCGGAGGAAGGCUUGGGGUGAUACGUGACUGCACGUCCCACCCCCACAAUGCUCCAAGCCCCCAGCAGGAAUAGAGCCCCGUGGAGGACUUGCCCAUCCCUUCACAGCCCCCUCCUUGGUGCGAGGCCCUGGCUGUGCCCUAAGGACAUCCCCACUUCUCCGGGAACACUGGCUGUCUCUUUACACCUCCACCUAGCACUCUACAGGCCUCUCUUAGGUCUGACCCUUUUGGAAUGCCACUCUGGGAAACACAGUGCUGGUCUUUCCGUAGCUCUGCCAUCACCAGCACGUUAAUUUCAAGCAGGCCAGCUCUUCACUGCUCUGUGUCCUCAGCCCUAAAGUGGGAAUAGUCAGCCUUGCCAUGUCUACCCUGUGAAGGUGUGAAGAGGCUCAAGCAACAAUAUGCAACUCCCAAACUGGAUUGUAGGCUCCUGGAGAAUUUUGGCGACUGUGUGGAUCCUUAGCACAUCCUAGGCAGCCCCGUCUUUGUUGUUAUUCAAGUUAAAAUCAACAUCUACCAGACUUGGCUCAGAACCACUUGGGGCUGUUUCAAAAUUCAGUUCCACUCCUGAGGAUUUGCUGCCAUGGAGGACAGCAAAACAACACUCCGAGGCUUGGAAGGCAGGUGAAAGAGAAGUGCUCCAAAACACGUUCAGAACUGGGCAGCACCGCUGGAGUACGAGUUUAGCUUCCCCGGGGGAUUCCUUAGAAUUGGACAUAUUAAAAAUAAUAAUAAUUUAUCUGGAUGAGUAAUGUACUUGGUGCAAAAUUCAAGAGGUCCCAUUCUGUGGGUUGGCUUUUCAUUCUGUUGAUAGUAUCCUUUUUUUUUUUCCUGAGGAAGAUUAGCCCUGAG